rnacentral:rRNA from 1 species
UACUGAUUGAGAUUUUAACACGAAGUGAGUGGCGAACGGGUGAGUAACACGUGGGUAACCUGCCCAGAAGUAGGGGAUAACACCUGGAAACAGGUGCUAAUACCGUAUAACAACAAAAUCCGCAUGGAUUUUGUUUGAAAGGUGGCUUCGGCUAUCACUUCUGGAUGAUCCCGCGGCGUAUUAGUUAGUUGGUGAGGUAAAGGCUCACCAAGGCAGUGAUACAUAGCCGACCUGAGAGGGUAAUCGGCCACAUUGGGACUGAGACACGGCCCAGACUCC